AUUUCAUCAACUUUCUUGUGUUGUGUAUUGUUUCAUCAUUUUCUUGAAAGUUUCAAGUUAUACCCUCUUGUCCUGUGGUUGUUUUAGUUUCCUAUGUUAUGCUGAAUGAUUGUGGUUUUGAUGCUUGAGUUAAAGUUCUGUGGAACUCAAAGCAAUCUUUGUUUCCUUUGUUGCAUGUUAUGUGAGCAAAACUUGGUGGUCCACAUUUGCAGUUUCAUCUUUCAUGUCCUUUUGAAGGCAGAACAAAACACACUUAAAUUGAAUGGUCCAUACAUGGUAAAGGAAAGAAUAUGAUCAGUUGAAUUUGGUGAUAAAAAAACAGACAAGUUCAUGCUUUGACUAGUUUUCCUAGACAUACCAAUUCAUUGUACUUCUCAACACAGUGCUCCAAAUUCUUUAUGAUAAACAGUGAGUUAACUAACUGCUCUGUUGUGGCCAAUCUGGCUUAUGUGGCAACUAUGAUAAGCCAAGUUGAAGGAGUGCUAUGUUGUGAAACCGAACAAUAUGAGCUCAUUCCAUUGCAUCUCAACAACUUUGGUUUAAUGAAAAUCUUAAGCUGCAAGAUCUUCAGAAUCCUUUCCAAGCAUCAAGAACUUCAUGGAAGACUUCAGAAAUCAGAUCCCUAUCUGCAUUUCGCAGGAAGGUAUUGAAAUCAUCGCGAAUUUCAUAUAUUUUACCAAACUUCACAAGAUAUCGGAUGCAACUCAUCUUCAGUUUCAUCAACUGAUAUAGAGAUGCAUUUUGGAGCCUCUCAAGUACAUUCUUUGUGUCAAUAUCUUCUAGAAGACUUUCGUGGCAUACAUCUCUCAAGUCAGAUAUGUCAUACUUGUCAGCCGCCUGCAGAAGGGCCAGCCUAUGAGUCAGAAACUCUUCAUGUUUGAUUAUCCCAUAAAGAUAAUAGAGAAAAGCCUGGCAUGAUUCAAGUGACAUGUCUGAGAUGUUUAUGGUUGAUAACUCUUUCUCCUGAAGAUUAUGUGAGAACAUGCUGCGGAAGACAGGUGAUCUGGCAGCAAGAACAGCUCUAUGAGCUCCUAUACUUCCAUCAGAAGCAUUGAUGGUGAUGUCUGUGUGAAUGCCUUCUGUUAGCAUUCUACCAAGAGACUCUAUGGCUUUUGCAUUUGAUCUUUGCUGAGUAAAUCCUUCUGCCCAAAUGGAACAAGGUUCUCCACCCUACAUUGAAAAAUAACAUUCCAAGUAAGGUAAGGUAUUUGUAUUCUGAGUGCAAUGCACCAAUUCAAUCAGAUAUUAAAUAGGAACAGUCAUGAUACAAGGGGACUAUGACCAUGACCCCAUGCAGUAUGCUCUCAAAAUGUAAAUAGAUUAACUUCAUAGAAAUAAAUUAAUAGUGUAAAAGUUUUUUAUGCUAUCAUUCUAUCA